rnacentral:lncRNA from 1 species
AAAACUCCUGUGAAGUUUACUUUGGGCUCAUCCCUCACUGCCAUAGACAACAGUUCGUAUUUGGCAUCACCAUCGGGUGAAUUCGCUUUUGGAUUCCAACAGAUUGGAAGUGGAAGGUUCUUGCUUGCUAUUUGGUUCAACAAAAUACCUGAAAAGACCAUAAUUUGGUCAGCCAAUGGCAAUAAUCUAGUGCAGAGAGGAUCCAAGAUUCGCCUUACCAGUGAUGGUGAGUUCAUGCUGAAUGACCCAACAGGCAAACAGAUAUGGAAAGCUGAUCCAGUCAGUCCUGGAGUCUCCCAUGCGGCCAUGCUCGACACUGGAAACUUUGUGCUGGCAAGCCAAGAUUCCACCCUUCUGUGGGAGAGUU